rnacentral:tRNA from 1 species
GUGGUUGUAGCUUAGUAGUAGAGCACUUGCCUCUCACGUAUGAAACACUGGGUUUGAUUCUCAGCACCGCA